AUGAACGCUAGCGACAGGCCUAACACAUGCAAGUCGAGGGCAGCACAAGGAGCAAUCUGAGGUGGCGACCGGCGCACGGGUGAGUAACACGUAUGCAACCUGCCUGUAAGCGGGGAAUAACCCGUUGAAAGACGGACUAAUACCGCAUAAUACUAAAUUACUGCAUGGUAAUUAUUUAAACAUUUAUGGCUUACAGAUGGGCAUGCGCAUGAUUAGCUAGUUGGAGAGGUAACGGCUCCCCAAGGCAACGAUCAUUAGGGGUUCUGAGAGGAAGGUCCCCCACACUGGUACUGAGACACGGACCAGACUCCUACGGGAGGCAGCAGUGAGGAAUAUUGGUCAAUGGACGAGAGUCUGAACCAGCCAAGUCGCGUGCAGGAAGAAUGUUCCCUAUGGAUUGUAAACUGCUUUUGCAGGGGAAUAAAGUGCAUCACGUGUGAUGUUUUGUAUGUACUCUGCGAAUAAGGAUCGGCUAACUCCGUGCCAGCCGCCGC
rnacentral:rRNA from 1 species